rnacentral:misc_RNA from 1 species
UCCUCCCCCUCGAUCCCAUCGGGCGGAGGAGAAGGCGAGAAUCCGCCGCCACCGCCCCCACCGAUCCCUCCGCUCUCGUAAGCAAACCCCCCGACCUGGCUCCCGCUACCAAGGCCGUCAUCCUCCAGAUCCUGGCCCGCGGAGACCCCGAUCUGAUGAUCGGUGGAAUCAGCGCUCUGCACGGGGAGGACGUCCAGGUCCUGAGCGGCGAUGGCGGUUGCGGUACGGCGGAGGCCGGUGCGGAAGGUUGUGCGGAGGGAGGGGGGCUUGGGGCGAGGACGGGUACGGG